ensembl:lncRNA
CAAAAUAAAUAGGUCUUGCCUGCUUGCAUAGAGUGACAGGUGCAUCACACAUCUAGUUAUAACUACCCUAAUAGACUAGACCUGGCUUAAGCCCCAUGUGGUGCGAGACAAGGCAACCGUGUUUGACAUCCACCUUGUAACUGCCUUUGUCCAGUUUAUUUUGUAUUAGCACUUUUACUAUUUGUUUUUCUUUCUAAAUUGAAUGUUAAUAGUAAGACGGAAUUAAUUAUUGGUCCCGCCCGGAGGUUUCCGGCCGGGCGCCUUUGAGCGACGCACUGAAGAAAACUUUACCGCGAAAGAGACUGAUUAUUCCGCUGUUGUCAUGUUUAAGUAAAUAAGUUGGCAGGAAAAUAUACAGAAGAUGAUUCAGGAGAUUUGAAAGGAUGUUUAGCACCUCUUUGUGAUAAGCAGCAAUGAGUUCUCAUGGGUUGACCAACAUUAAAGCCCUGUGUUCUAACCAAGACCUCUUGCUUCAUGCCUGUCACUGGGGGAGCUACACACCUGUCAAAUCCCGGGCCGUGUACAUUUUGCACCACCCUCUGUUGGAGCCCCAUGCACUGUCAAUACGCCUCAACCAGGAUUCGAUUGAAGCAAAGUUGCAGCUGCACUGCAAGCUGGAACGCUGCGGUACGUUACCGAAUGAUCCACCAAACGCCUGACAGUGACACAGAGGGGGAGGAGAACCCCUACCGUCACCUGCUCCACACCUGGCCAGCCCAGCGACAACCCCGGAAGAGGCAACAACAGAGGCCGGUGGUGGCUGGUCCCCUUCAUGGGUGUGAGGACAUUGAGGGGGCCCUGGCGUACUCCGUCCGCUCCAUCAUCGACUCGAGGCGCCGGGUGGGGUGCCUCCAGUACCUCGUGGAGUGGGAGGGGUACGGCCCGGAGGAACGGAGCUGGGUUCCGGUGAGAGACAUCCUGGCUCUCGCCCUCCUGCGCGACUUCCAUCGCCCGGAUCGCCCUGCUCUGUGUUCCCCGGGUCGGCCCCAGGGCCGGUGUCGUUGGGGGGGUUGGUGCUGUAAUGACUGCGCCCUCUGCUGCCUCUCCUCCCCCUGCAGCAGGCAGGCUCCAGCGGUCGACGUCACCGGUCUUCUAACACCAUCGCCCGUCUCAUUCAUGCAUUUCCCCUGUUGUCUUGUUUAGCGCACCUGAUCCUCAUUCUAAUCAUUGCCCCCAGUAUAUAUGCUCCCUCUGCUUCCCGUGUCUUUGUGUUUUAUUGUCUCGCCUACCCAGAGCAUUAUCAGGCUACGCCACUAUUGUCACUAUUAAAACACAGUUCAACAGUACGACUUCGGAUUCCUGCUCCUCGUUCCUCCUCGAGCCUGACAUUCAGCAUUAUCCAACAACAUCUUGUUUUACCUGGGUUACUGGGGCCAAUAAUGACACAGCCGAAUGGGUGUUGAAGUUGCGGGUCAAAACCGCUAUCCAUCCUAGAAUGUGAUUUAGUACCCGUAAGGCCCUGUGCUGUAAUCAGGGAGCAGUACACACUUGUUGUACACAACUCUGAAAUGCUUAGACACUACUUGGUUUUUCAAUCUGAAUGUUGUUUUAUCUCUCACAAUUGUGUCUACAUUAGCAAGGACGUAAUCAUCAUCACCACCCUCGCCUCGUACAUAGUUAUCAACCAGUCGUGUUAGCGUCUCCAAAUUAACAAUGGUUGUGUUGUAGCUGUUGAGUGUAAUGUUUGCUUUGAGACAGGUCAGACCUUUAACAGUUUUGUAACCAUGUGUCUUUGGCCCACCACUAACAAAUUGAGCAAUGCUGUCACCAUCUGGCAACUAAACGGUCAAGUCACCCAAGAAUGGACCCAGUGGGGGGACCCAAUCCCCAUGGCGUGUGACAAAGAUCACUGAAUCAGUGUCUGUGUCUAUCCAACCUCUCCAAGAGUGAAUACAACUCAAGUCUAGCAUAAGCGGUUGUGAACGCGGCAAUAAAAAUGUUGCCGUUACGUGGUUUGAUU